AUGUGAUUAAAGUUAACUAAAGAAAAGUAACAAAGUUAGUGUGAAAAAUCACUAAUAUGAACAUACCAUAAAAGUUAGGGGCUAAAUGUGUAAAUGUAGAAUAAAAUUAGAUAAAAAAAAAAAAAAGAAAGCCAGUUUGGUCUGGCAGUGUGUUCGAUCGAGAGAGAGGAGGGAGCCAAGGGAGUCAAAACCCUAACAUCACAAAUCUCUCAAAUUGAAAGGGAAAAACUGAAGGUUUAUCAAUGCAUGAGUUAGGAAUGUUCAUCCCUAAGUGAAAUUAACAUCAAGCACAAAGAAGGAAGAAGGCGCAAGUCACUCGAAGGCACAAGCAUCUCAAGAUCGCGGUAAAUCCCUUGCUUGAUUGCGGCGCACCCGGACCGAACACACACACGUAAUGUCGACCUUAUGCGCUUCCGGUCCAAGUUGUUUGUUUUGA